UAGAAAUGAAAAAGGGGAUGGGCUGGGUCGUUCUGAGAUUAUACUGUCAAAACUUGAUCUAGAUAAUACUAGCGAAAGGACAUGCGUGACUUUUGAUUG
rnacentral:ncRNA from 1 species